AUACUUACCUGGCAGGGGUGACACCAUGAUCAUGAAGGUGGUUUCGCCUUGAGUGAGAAUCAGUCAUUGCACUCAGACUGGUUUGACCUCAACGAAUUCCCCAAAUGUGGAAUCUCGACUGCAGAAUUUGUGUUAGUGGGGGACUGCGUUCGCGCUCUCCCCUC